rnacentral:lncRNA from 1 species
GUCAAAAUUUCAUAGAUUUCUAUUUACUUAAACUAAAGUUAUAGUGCGAAAACCAAGAAAAUGCUUAUUUGGGCCCUUUUUGGCCCCUAAUUCCUAAAAUGUUGGGACUAAAACUCCCAAAAUCAAUCCCAACCUUCCUUUUGUGGUCAUAAACCUUGUGUUAAAAUUUCAUAGAUUUCUAUUCACUUUUACUAAAGUUAGAGUGCGAAAACUAAAAGUAUUCGGACGACGACGACGACGCCAACGUGAUAGCAAU